rnacentral:rRNA from 1 species
UCGUCAGCUCGUGUCGUGAGAUGUUGGGUUAAGUCCCGCAACGAGCGCAACCCUUGUCAUUAGUUGCCAUCAUUAAGUUGGGCACUCUAAUGAGACUGCCGGUGACAAACCGGAGGAAGGUGGGGAUGACGUCAAGUCAUCAUGCCCCUUAUGACCUGGGCUACACACGUGCUACAAUGGACGGUACAACGAGAAGCGAACCUGCGAAGGCAAGCGGAUCUCUUAAAGCCGUUCUCAGUUCGGACUGUAGGCUGCAACUCGCCUACACGAAGCUGGAAUCGCUAGUAAUCGCGGAUCAGCACGCCGCGGUGAAUACGUUCCCGGGCCUUGUACACACCGCCCGUCACACCAUGAGAGUCUGUAACACCCAAAGCCGGUGGGAUAACCUUUAUAGGAGUCAGCCGUCUAAGGUAGGACAGAUGAUUAGGGUGAAGUCGUAACAAGGUAACCGUA